rnacentral:rRNA from 1 species
GAUUAACGCUGGCGGCGUGCGUAACACAUGCAAGUCGAACGAAGUGGCGGACGGGUGAGUAACGCGUGAGUAACCUGCCUUAGAGAAGGGGAUAGCCUUUGCAAACGAAGAAUAAUACCCUAUACUCCAAGAUGGACUUUCGUCUGAUUCGUUAGUUGGUGGGGUAACGGCCCACCAAGACCGCGAUCAGUAGCCGGCUUGAGAGAGGGUACGGCCACAUUGGGACUGAGACACGGCCCAGACUCCACGGGAGGCAGCAGUGGGGAAUGUGGCACAAUGGGGGAAACCCGGAGGCAGCGACGCCGCGUGAUUUAGAAGGCCUUCGGGUUGUAAAAAUCUUUUCUAUGGGAAGCAGUACCAUAGGAAUAAGGACCGGCUAAUUACGUGCCAGCCGCCGCGGUAAUUC